CCCUGGUGGCCGCAUUUGAGAAAUGCUGGUUUGGAGUGCAUACUUAUGGUCAUGUGGUUGGGGUUUUUUUAAGACACAAAUUAUAUUCAUUUAGAGCAACAUUGGGACCUCGUGUGAAUACAUGUGUUUACAGACAUGAGUAAGAGUAGCAAAAUUUAGCCUUUAAUAUCAGAAGUGUCUUAAAAGCAUCAGAAGCCCCAAAAUCCUAAAAAUAUCCAUUCUGUUAAAAUUGACCUUUUCAGUUUCAGUUCGUGUCUUGCAGUCUGAGUCUCUGAAGUGGCUGUGGCUUGGACAGUGGUUCUUUCAGCUCAGAAAAAAAACCUGACCUUUGUUUAAGAAGAAAAAGAACCUUCCCCCCUCCUCCCCGAAUCAUUCCUGUUGCACUCACACAGUUUUAAAAAGCUGACAGAUUCUGUGAGCUGAAAGCAGCUCCAGGCUGAGCCAUUGACAGUUUAAAGACAGCAGAGAAAGACUCAGGAAUCUGUUUCGUCUAAAAGACCUAUGAAUGAAAGCAAAUUAAAAAAGCAAAUAUGGUAUGAAGUUAUGAUAAUUGCACAAUACUACUAUGGAUUUUCUGAAUGUUUUCAUCAACCUGCAUUUUUAGGCAGGAGAGACCUCUGAGAUGUUCCCUCUGCUGUCUGCUUUCAGCAGAGAAACUAAUCCAGCAUUUUACAACUGGAGUAUGGUUCGAGAUGUAUUAGUUCCCUGUAAGCAGCAAAGGAAAAGACAGCUCUACUCAGGAUCUGGAAAAUGCAGCGGGCAUCUUUAGUUUGUCCACAGGUUAUCUCUGGACUUACAUUCACGGUGAUCGACAUCCUAGACCUGCUUUUCAAACUGGCUGUGGAUAUAGCAAAAACAAGAAACACCACCAGUCCUGAACAGACUAUUGUCUCCUUCAGACUAAGAUCAGAAUCCUCCCAAGUCUCCUGGCAAGACAGAAGUUCCUGGAUUCAAAUUCUAAAACAUCCUUGCAUAGUACUUCAACUCAUCAAAAGGCUAUAAAACAGAUGACCAAGUAGGUCAUUAUGACCAUUCAGUGUUAGUGUCAUCAUUAACCACAAGGGCUGACAUUCUGGCAUUGAAAAUUUUGCUCCUUCCCCAAAGUUCCCAAGGGUUUCUAUGGUUUUCUGAUUAUCUCUGACAAAAAAAAAAAAAAAAAAGGGCAAAAGGAAGACAGUGCAUCAGUGACCACAAACAAACAGAUAUCGACAUGCCCCCAGUACAAGGAAUACAAGCUUAUGUCCUGGCUAUUGAAGAAACAGAGAAAUCCCACCUUUCGUCCAACAUACCAGGUGCUAAAUCACAUUCCAUUGAACUAUUACAGAUUGUGAAUUCUCUUGUUAACAGCGUACUUCAGCUACUCUCAUUGAGAAGUAUGAUCAGAGAAGUAUGAUCUUGGAGAAAGUCAUCCAAAUCAAAUAUUGACUCUUGGAGCCCUAGGAAGCAUGGAUCAGGCAUAGGCCUGAUGACAGGAUACUGAAUUUUCCCAUUCUCAGCCUAAAGUUGCAACAGGCAGUGAAAAAGUCAACUACUUCCAUCCAAACUCCCUACUACCUCUCAAAAAGCAAUGAAUGAAGGGGAAAAAAUCAGUGAUUGAAGCAGUAAAGACAAUCAAGUUGCAGGAGGCACUAUAUCUUGUUAUGAAUAAGCAUGAAAGUGCUAAGAAGACUGUGUAUUCAUCUUAAUCACCACUAUGGAGAACUUUAAAUAUUUCAAAUGUUAGUUUUAGUGACUUGACAAAACAUCUAACAAUAUAUUAAAGCUCAAUUUGUACAACCUUAAAAAUAAUGGCCUAAUUCUCUGAUACAGUGUAGCUGCUUUACAGCACUCCAGGGGCAUAAACUGGGUCGAGAGCAAAUUUAGCCAAUCAUCUAGAGAAGACCACCUUACUACAAGGAUGAUACUCCAGUAACAUAGAUGUGAUGUACGGGCACCUAUGUCACAUACCCCUCCCUGCAAUCAGUGUACUGUGGAAAAGUAGGCAUGGCAAAAAGACAGGGGGCCCGACUACCAUGCAGCUGAACCACACCAACCCUUCGCUGUAUUUUGCGUUUAACUUGCCUUUAUAACCUGGCAUAUGUUAGAACUGCCUUCAAGAUGACCCUGUGCAGAGCAGCAUCAGGGUUGGGAAACUGCAAAUGUGAUCUUUAAACAACCUUUGUACCUACCUCUGCCUGCACUUGGUUUAUUUCAGCUGCAGCUGGCUCAUUGUCUUUAUCUGUCUAUGUUAAACGAAACACCUGAAAACACUUUUUCCCUUUUAAAGUGGUUCUGAACGUUCUCGGGCAAAUUCUGUCUAUAUUUAGAUCUGCAGAAUUUAUGGUUUAAUGGGGAACAGAAUUUAGCUCUAUGUUUUCAGGAAUGUGUAGAGGAGCUAAAACUGUGCACUAUCUAAAACAUCAAAGAGAAGAUUUUUAAAAAAAAAUUUGUAAGCCUAAAAUUUUCAUUUACUCAUUCAGGUACACUGUCUUGCUCCCACACAAGAAUUUACUGUGUGUAUAUUCAAGUAGGGUUUAAAUCAAAACUAACAUUAAAAAAUCCCACUGAAGAAGAGUAGGUGUAUCAAUGAUUCUUAAAAAAUAAUCUGUUUGUGAAGUUUUCCAAAUGGCUAAUUUUAGAUAACCAAAUAAAAUAAAAAUAAAACAUAAAUAAAUAAAAAUCA